CUUUGCAGCAGCCAGGAGUCCGACUCCUCCUCUUCCUGUGUGGAACCUGGAAUUCAAACGGCUGGGUAGGAAGCACGCUAGCAGGGGCCUCUGGCCUUGCUGAGGGUCCCUGUUUCCCCUUUUCCUUCCUUUUCACCCAACAAAACCCUGCUUUACUCACCCUUCAAACCAUCUAUGAGCCUAAAUUGUCGUGGUCGUGGAAUGGACAAGGACCCAGUCUUUAGCUGAACUAAGGGAAAGUCCUGCUUUUUGGCGCGCAACAGGGGAGCUCAAGAAACAGUGAGUGAAAUGGGGACUCAAAACCUCUCACUGUUGAUCCUAAGCAUUUUCAUCCUCAGACUACUGAGGGUGGGGGAAACACGACCCCAAACUCCGUUGCUCCGUUGGGGGUCGUCGGGGGAAAGGCCUUUUCCUUCCUUUUUCAGGACAGACAGGAAAGCCGGGGCUCCUCACUCCCCCUCCCCUCUGUGCCCGGGACGGGAUGCAUGGCCCAAGGGUCCCACACAGCUGGCUAGAUGGUUCUCAGACACAAGCCACCGCAGCCUUCCUUUUCCCCUGCCAGGGGGUUAAACUUUAUCAGAGAGUAAUUAAGCUUUAACCCUGCUGUUGAAAUCACUUGCAGACGAAUAAGAAGUUCUUCCCCAGGCAUUUUUAAACCUUUUUUCACUCCCCUUUUCCACCUCCUCAACAAGUAAACCCUUAAAGUUUUUUUUUUGUUUGUUUGUUUGUUUUUUUUUAGAAGACACUUUACUAGGCCACUCCCUCUGCUCCCCAGCUAUCACUGUAUGCUCUGCAAAGUUUUGCUUGUGAAAUAAAUCCUCUAUUUUGUUUUACAUCCUGAGGCCAUGGCUUAUAACUCUGGCGGCAAGGAUUUGUUUAGCAAUCCUGCCUUAGGGGAUGAGCCCUCUCUAAUUCAAUAUCUGCAUGUCCCCUGUCUCUUAAAGGGCCUCACUCACGGCAUAUGGAACUAACCACGCCCCUAACUAAGAAGGCACACCUUAGUUGCAGUUAGCACACAAUUAAAGCAACUCUCCAAGUUUUACCUUAAAGUUCAAAAUUGCUAGGAGUUGAAACUACUAGAAAUAUAUUUACAUGCAAGAGUCAAAGAAACUUUGAACUAUUUAUGGCCUUUAAUAAUUAAGUAAGGUAUACUCCUGUGAUCAAGACUUGGAGCAUAUUUGUUUCUCUCUGCCUGGUUCCUCUAGAAAUUGGAAACUAUCAGAACAGAGACCAACUCCGUUUCCCGAUCCCUUUGCAAUCUGCAUUGAACCAUGAGUCAAGUUCUUGAUAAAGGAGUGAAAAUGGUAAGUCUAAAGCAAUGAAAAGCUGCUGUAUUGACUACACAUGCCUUCAUUUCUUCUACCCUGCUUCUUUCAUGCCUGCUUAUCUGAAUGACACCAGGAUGACAUUUAAGGCACAUCUGAAGAUGGGGAAACCACAGCACAGAAUAAGGCUGGGCCCUUGAAUCAAUAAAUGAAGGAGAACUACUCAAGAGAACAAAACCACCAGCAAUAUCCACCUGUAUUUGUCUUUUCAUAAUGUGUGACACAUGUGCUCAUGGAUUAUUGUCCGAAGCAAGACAUGUGACCAAGCCUAACAUCAACUGGGUGAAGAGCUAUAUGUUCCUUUCUCAAGAGGCACUACAAGUGACAUGCCACUGGGCAGCACUGUUCACAUUAUGUAAGUGAUAAAAUUGACCUAAAUAUCCAUCAAUGGACAAAUAGAUCAAGAAAACAUGAUAAACAUACACAGUGGAAUACUAUACAGCUACAAAAAGAAUGACCUUCUGUCAUUUGUGACAACGUGGAUAAACCUGCAGGACAUUCUGUUAAGUGAAAUCAACCAGGUACAGAAAAACAAAUAUUGCAUGAGCUCACUCAUAUGUGGAAUCUAAAGUAAUUUUACUCAUUGACCAACCUCUUUCCAUCCCCCAUCCCCUUUUCUCUCCUCAACCUCUGGUAACUGCUGUUCUACUCUUUAUUUCUAUGAGACCACAGUUACAGUUAGAUAGGAAGAAUAAAUUCUGGUGUUCUAUUACAUAGCAGAGUGACUACAGCUAAAAAUAGUGUAUUAUAUAUUUCAAUAUAGCUAGAGAAGAAGAUCUUGAAUGUUAUCACCACAAAGAAAUGAUAAUGCUGUGGUAAUGGGUAUGUUAAUUAUCCUGAUAUGAUCAUUAAACAAUGCAUAUAUCUAUUGAAACAUCACAGUAUACCCCCAAACAUGUACAAUUAUUGUGUCAAUUAUAAACAAAAAUAAGAAAGAAAAUUCAGAAGGAGGGAUUUUUUUUUAAUCUUGUCCUUUUUUGUUCACA
rnacentral:lncRNA from 1 species